AAUAAGUGUAGUUUUGCACUGUUCAUGUCUAAUGUUUGACCGUUCGUUUUAUUUGAAAAAUUUUUACGAUUAAUAUUUUUAUUGUUAUUAGAUGAUAAAACAUAAAUAGUAUUUUAUGUGUGACUAACUUCUUUUAAUUUUCUCAUAAAUUUUUCAAAUAAGACGAACGGUCAAACGUUGAACACGGAUUCCUACGGCUACACUUAUU
rfam:Oryza nivara chromosome 7, whole genome shotgun sequence.